ensembl:lncRNA
UACUCUUGGUGUAAACACCUCCUCCUCCUCCUCCUCUCCUGCGAGGAGAUAAAUCAGUGGGACGGGCGAGAGCGGAUCAUCCGCGCUGUCCUGUCCGCCUGGAUCCGCAGCCCUGUACCAGUUCUUUGACAUUUAACUCCACCUACAGGCGAGCAUCGAGCCCUGCCUGCAGCCAGCAAUGCGCUGGGCGCUCUCGAAAAGAGCUUUCUUUACUUCUAAAAUAUUACAAAAAACUUUUUUUUAUAAAAAGUGUAUUUUUAAGAUACGCUAUUCACGAAGAAAUAAGAUUAUAUAGGCUGGAGGGGAAGGAUUACCAUCAGAAGUUAACAUCAGCCUUCACUAGAGCAGGUCUUUGAGCAUUCACCACGUCUUAAUCACUGGAGUUUUCUCCUCACUACAUGGGAUUUGUCACCAUCAAAAUUUGACUUCCCAGUCCAAAACACAGCACAGAGAAACAUUCUGACCCUGAAAGGGACUUUGCUUCUUUCCCUAAUUAGUAGAAUGAAUCACUAACCAACUGUUUUUCAUGUGAGACAGGCAUGAUCUUGUUCUGACAUCGUUCAAGCUCUUCUGUGCCCAUAGUUUGUGCAUCCCUCUGGGUUCUUCUCUCAAAUGUCAAAACAAGAAAUGCUGCUGAAAAAGUAUGGAAAUUCAAAUACACAAAAGCAAAACAUCAGCCUUUUAAAUACUGUACGUCUUAGCCCUCGGAGGUCUCAGGGUUGCAAUUGGAUAUCACAACAGGGAGAGAAUUUUAUUCUGCAGCCAGAACAGGAACUGGUUAUGAAUUCAGCAGAUCUGGCAGGCUGCUGCAUUUCCUUGCUGAUGCCACCUGAUAAGCCUGCUCUUUUUAAAAGCCAGACAUCAGAGAUCACUGCGUGCUGCGGACAGUGUGUUGGAUCUGUGGAGCAGCACCCUGCUCGUGUGCCCCGUCCCUCCCUGCAGUGCCAGCAGUGCAGCCACACUUCCAUUCUCUUACAGAGCCCUCCUCUCUCUGUUUCUGCUAACUGGACAUCAGUGCAUUGCUUUCCCAUUCAAGGUUAACCCCACGGAGCCAAAUUUCGUCCUGGAUUCUGUUACCCUUUGGAAUUCUGCUCCACAGAAAUGGAACACCCUGUUAUACUCACUGCUAGCUCAGUGUUACCCAGUAUUUUAAAGUAGAGCUUUGUCAUCAUUUCUCCUGGAGCCUAAAAUGAUGCCUGAAAGCUUGGUGCAUGCCCAGACAGCAUUUUGCUCCUCACAGCCAGAAGAGCAUUUCUCUAUCCUUGUGCAGUGGAUACCUGGCAAAACUGAAUUUCUUUCUAUCCUCUAAAGAACAUCAUUUUCCUUCCUAUUACCAAAUGUGAGAAUCAGAUGAUGAGAGAAAGGUCUCACCAUUGUUUAUACUGACAGUGUUUUCUCCCUCCUUGGGCAAACCUGAUUCUCCUAAUUAACAAGAUGUCAUCAGUUCUGCAUGGAAACAUGGGAACCUGUGAAACAUUUUAUAGAAUUGGUUUUUACACACUUAAGAAUACCGAGUGCUUUUCAAGAUAACAGUGUCUGCUACCAGAACCUGGAACACAAAUUAUACUUGGUAAUAGAUGAGGUAAGGAUAAAAUAAAAUCAAUGUCUGCACUGUGAACAAAGAGGAAUCAGAGUGUUCCAUUUUUAAAAUUUAGUGGAAUACCAGAGAUUAUUUGAGCAUGAAUUUCACUGGCAUAUUUACUAUCACUUUUAAGGUGGAGAAAAUCUGAUCUUAUGCAAAUUCAUCUGUUUCCAAGCACUUCCAUGUGUCCAGUUAUUGCAAAUUAGAAAAAAAUAUAUAGAUAAAAUUAAUCCAGCCAGGAGCUUACCAUAAAAUGCUGUAUAUAUUAAUAUGUGAAAUAUGCAUGCAAGAGUUUCAAAAUACUGAAACAUGCCUAUGGAGAUAAAAUAUUCAUCUCACUUCUACUGGAUCAAAGUCAACUUGGCUUGAUUUGAAUUAUUGGAAAAAUUCCCAGGAUUUCACCUUGCAAGUGUGUCCACUAGGUUCUUGCAAUGGCCAAAAUAUAUUUGUAAGCCAAUAAAUCAGCGAGUAUUAAAUUUCCAUGCUAAUUAAUCAGCAAGAAGGAUGCUUUACCCUAUUUCAUGCAAACACUGGACGAAAUUUUCAGUUUUUUAGUUGAUAUGCCACAGGUAGAAAUGAGAUGUAGCCUGGAGUGUGUCUUGCCCAACCUCCUCAGAAGGGGCACUGAAGGACAGAACUAUCUCUGGAUAGGAUCAAGCACUUGUAAUCACAGUUGCCCUGAUCCUUUGAGCUGUCCAUAUCAUCUGAAACCUUCAGUGAUGUUUAUUCUGUGAUGAUUUUCACACUGUCCAUGAUGAGUUAGUGAGAGAUAAUGAUAAAAUUAAGCCUGUUUUAUCAGUCUUGCAGAGACUGAUGCAUUACAUUCAUUUAUGGCCAGUGAAGACAGGCAAAAGCCUGUCAUUAAAGAUGACAGAAUCAUGGAACCAUUAAAAUUGGGAAAGACUCCUGGUAUCUUUGAAUUCAGCCAUUAGCCCAGCACCACUAAAUCAUGUCCCCAAGUGCCACAGCCACACUCCUGAGCAAUUCCAGGGAUGGUGAUUCCACCUCCUCCCUGGGCAGCCUGUUCCAACGCCUGACCACCCUUUCAGGGAGAAAAUUGCUCCUAUUGUCUAAUCUAAACCUCUCCUGUCACAGCUGGAGGCCAUUUGGGGAGCCCUGGCUCUGACAAGAGCCUCUCAUCAGUCUUCAGGGUGCAUUCUGCGUGUCCACAGCAGCGAUGGUGAAGGCACGUUUUGGAGCUGGAAGAGGAAAUGAAAGGGGCUGGCUGCUGCCAGAGCCAUUCCAGCUGGGUAAUGUCUCUCCUACAGCCAGAGACUGCAGCAGCAUGUGUUUACCCAGAGAGCUCUUCAAUAAUGUAUGGUCGGCUGAGGAGCACAUCAUAAUUCUGUCAGGAUGGGAAGAGCAGCAGAGAGGGGCUGCUUUAACAUCCAAAUUGGCUCAGGAAGCUCUGCUGCAAGGGCUUCCCAGUGUGGCAUUACUGUCACAGCGAUCCUUCCAUUUUGUACCCAUUAACGCUCCCCGAGAAGGAAUGAAAGAUGAUAAAAGCUGAAUUUUCAUAAAAAAAAGGAGCACAAUUUGUCUGCAGCAGUCCAUAAAACUCCAUAGUAAUAGAAUGGAAGCUGCAGGAAUGAAAAAAUAGAUGUGUUUUUUCCAGCCAAAGCUGUAGCUGUCCCUGGCUGCAGUUUGGCCCCUGCUUGGCAAGGCAGGGACACAGAGUGUGCUCUGUCACUGCAGAGGAAAUUGUCCACCCUGGUCAGCACAGGCAGUGCCACUCACCAACCAGGAGCUGAAAAGUUCCACCUCAGGUACAAACUUCUUCUCUAAAUGAUGUAUUCUGUGUCCCAGGGAUCGGAUUAAAAGUAAAGGAUGCGAUUAAAGGAUCUCCUCACUCCUUUUGCUGUUUCUCAAUGCAGAAACUGCCAUUGAAAAAAUCCCUCAGGGACAGAGAGGAAAGAAAUGUCUAAAUGUUAUAAUACCUGUUCUCCUUGACUUGUUUUUUUGGUCAUAAAACCACAGCAGCAUAUAACUCACUUCUAUCUCUCUGUUUGUCAAGUGUCAAGCGUACUGGAGCUAAGGUGCAACUGGUGGCUAGCAAGGAUUUUUUUUUUCCCAGCUAGAUAUUCAUUAAUUUAUUCAUUUAUGACAAGGAAACAUAUGCAUGCCUGCAAAUUUUAUAAUUUUAAAACGGAAAAUGCUGUUGGCUCCACAGAGGCAAUGAACUGUGGAUUCAUUCUGCAAUUUGAAGCUUGAAUAAACCUCCCGUGACUUCUUUCACUUCUUCUGCCUUCUCAUUUUUGGUCAUAAUGUGUGUCCAUGGGUGCAUAUUACAGAGUGAGGGAUUCAGGGAGAGAGCAUUUCCUUGAUUGCAGGGGAGAGAAAGAAGAGGGAAAAGAAGUUAGAACAAAUAUGGACAUAACACUGGAGUGUGUUGGAUAUGGCCCAAAGAACAUGGGUGUGGUCUCCCCUGCAGCACUUAGGAAUUAUUGAUAAAACUGAAGGAUAUGAGAUAUUUUGGCUUGGCAUGCAGGUCUUUCAGACUCUGCUUUUAAGAUUCAAAAUAAAGAGCUCUGGGGUAGAGACUGACUAUCUGUGUGUCUGUAUAUUAGAGGCACUUGUCUGUACAACACUUUUUCUAACUCAGUUGUGGGUUGAUUUUUUUUUUAAUGGCUUUAUUUUGUGCUUGUAAAUUUUAAAGAACUUGAAAGGUAUAGGGUGAUUAGGAGAUUUCAAAGGAAUGUUUGCAUUUAAACCUAAAUCUAAACAUUUCAAAGUGAAAGUGCACCACAGCAUUCUGCAUUACAGUCCUUGCUGAAAAAUAUUCUACGGCUCUGCUCCCUUGAGUGCUGAUAUUUGCCAAGAUAGCCUGAUCACACAUCUACCAGAGGAGAGGAGAUACCCCAAAGGCAAUCUCUGGCACUCCUAUUAACACCUUCAGAAGCAUAACCCUUUUCUACCUGUAUCUCUCGACUCCUUUUGGAGCAGAAGGAUAACAGGCUCCUGAUUUGUUGGUUGGUUUUUUUUUCCCUUGGACUGUAACAGUGAAUUAAACAGAUUUUUGUUUGCAGAUGCCAAUGGCUCCUAAACAAUGCCAGCAUUGUGGAGGGCUGCCCUCCACACCGGAGUGGCUUUCCUUUCGAGGAAACCGAGGAAACGUCCGUCCCCCUCGUGAGCACUCCUGGUUUCCGAGGAGCUGUGACCUGCGGGCUGAGGUGGGAUUGUUACGACAGCACAGCCGUGUACUGAUGUCAAGCUUGUCGGUCCCUUAUCAGCUGCCUGCCCCAGCGCAUUCAGCCCAGGACAAACAUUGCUGGGGCAGCUCCUUUUACAAGCAAUCCCCCCAGUGCUCAGAAAUCCCAGCUGCUGGACAGGGUUACAAGUGAAACCCCAGAGCCCCGCGCGGCUCCUGGGCUCCCCGCCUCCCUUCUUGCUGCAAGCCUCGUGCUAAAACCUGUGCUAAGACCUUCCGUGAAACCUCCCCAGCUAAACCAACUCGCCUCUUGAAAGGUGAGUUUCCAGCUCCAAACUGCUCUUGGCACAGGCGGGGUCUUUGGGGUCUUUAAGGCUCCUUCCAACCCCAGAACAUCCUGCGAUGCUGUGGCCAGGGCCCCUUCACCAAGCCUUCUUGGUUGCCAUCCUGUAUCCAGCACACAGACGCAACUAUACAAAUAUGACUCUGUUGAAUACCAUGCUGAAAGUAUAUUUUUUUUUUUGCAUUUCCCCAGAAUGUUUUCUCAUCGGUGAGAAAAAACAGGUUAAAGCUCCCGGGCAU